UAGGGAAUAUUGCUUAAUGGGCGAAAGCCUGAAGCAGCAACGCCGCGUGAACGAAGAAGGCCUUCGGGUCGUAAAGUUCUCUUACGUGGGGUGAGGAAGGACAGUACCACGAGAAUAAGUCUCGGCUAACUACGUGCCAGCAGCCGCGGUAAAACGUAGGAGACGAGCGUUAUCCGGAUUUACUGGGCGUAAAGCGCGUGUAGGAGGCGCUACAAGUUGGAUGUGAAAGCUCCCGGCUUAACUGGGAGAGGUCGUUCAAGACUGUAGUGCUAGAGUGAGGCAGAGGUAGAUGGAACUCCGGGAGUAGUGGUGAAGUGCGUAGAUAUCCGGAAGAACACCAGAGGCGAAAGCGAUCUACUGGGCCUAAACUGACACUGAGACGCGAAAGCCAGGGUAGCAAACGG
rnacentral:rRNA from 1 species